CAUACACCCAAUUAGAGAUAUACACAUAGACAAAUAAGAACAUAACAAAUGGAUUUUAGGAAUUGCCUCCCCACAGCAAUGAGCUACUCACUCACAAGGCUGCUAGAGAAGCAACAGAUGAGUUGGCUACCCUCCUAAAAGAACAACAGCCAAUUACUAUCAGUGAAGUCAUCAGAGCUGGCUCUCUGGGACAAGGCACUGCAGUGAGACUUUGAUCUGGACAUAGUUAUCUACUCAAGAAGUGAGCACCUGCUAAACACAGAAUAAUAGUAAGAACAUUAUUACCGUAAGAACCUCGAUUUAAGGCGACCCUCCAAAUAUGCGACACCCAGGAGCUUCAAAAAUUUUCUGACCCCUAAAAGUAGCGACAGCUGCGUUGACAAUUAAUGUCGCGUUCUAAAUAGAGGUAAAUGUAGCCACCCCUAUAGCUUCGAUUGUAGCCCACUGGAAAAUCUAGACUCGCAAGCCGUCACUGUUGCAGGUGAACAGUAGACUGGUCAAACUCCGUGUAGAGACUCGUGUUGCACCGUCAGCAUAUCUGAUAAGAUUCUAAGUGGCUGCGGUUUUCGUGACGUCACUAUACUGCUGUGCUACGUAGAGUUUUCUAGUGGUACGUCACUAUCAACGAUCUUGCAGUAACCGUAUGCGGUUAGUUGCCACAAAUAUCGUGGCAAACCUUACACGAGUCUCUACACGGAGUUUGACCAGUCUACUGUUCGCCUGCAACAGUGACGGCUUGCGAGUCUAUGGAAAAUCAGUGUUUCUAAGCGGCCUGAAAUCGAGGCAAGUAGACUCUGUAAAGUUACCUCCAAUUAGAUGCGACCCUCUAAAUAUUCGACACCAGGACUUCAAUACAAUUUUUUAACCUCCAAAAAAAGCGACCUCUGGCUUCGUAAUUAUUAAAAAGUGUCGCUUUAAAUCGAGAGAAGACGGCUAAAGCUAGAGAAGCUUGAGAAAUUCUUGAAAAGAAGCAGCGAUGUGCAAUUUAAGAAUAGGACACCUCACUCUGUCCAGUUUCGGUACAAGGACCUCAUUGACGUUGACAUGCUGGUGACCCCUUGGUGGGACAGUGUCUCCCAGCUGAGCCUGUUCUUAGACAAGAUCCCGGUUCAAAAGCGCUUCCUGUUCUCAAUUGGAGCCUCCAAAUGGCAGGUGCAGUUUAUGCAGAAGCAAGAUAAUGAGGACAGAAGAAGCCAAAGUCUUACUUUCUUUCUUUGCUCGUUUUGAAAGCUUAUCAGCGUGCAAAGAAGAAAUUUGGAAAUUAAAUCUUUCGCUGAAUGAAUGGCUGAAAAGACCUCCUAUAAGCUUAAAGACCUUGUUCUUAGGGAAGAUCAACAAGAUAUUCACUAGGACAACGACUAUACUACAUGGUGGAAGGAACUGGUAACACGAUUCUGCAUGACACCCCAAAACCCCUCGCCUCCUGGACCCAGCUAACCCAGCCAACAAUCUGUUUGACACCGGGUUCACCACUACACGUACCGGUGACAGGUCACAUGAUGAGGGGGAGGGGAACUGGGCUGAGAUAAAGAAGAAGAUUGAGACCACCGACCUUACUGUAGAUAUAACAGCCUAAUAAUUAUAAGAGUAUUAUAACUCAUCAUAAAGUAUUUAACUUUAUACGUAUUAUGUUGAAAUUACUAAUU